AAACAAGAAAGGAUAAAACCAACCAAGCUUGAAUGUGGCCUGCUCUUGCUGAAAAUGUAGUCAAAGGUUUCUAGUGUUCACCAAGAAGGGGGAUGAAAUUUGGUCCCAAAAGAAAACUUUCAGGAUCGAGGUGCAGAACAGAGCUAGGAAAGUCAAGUCACCCAUUCAAAGGCCCCUGGCUACUGAGCAGUCUAUUUGAGACCUUGGAUUCUUGGAACCUAGACCGGUGGGUCAACGUGUAAGAACGCUUACAGUACAAGCAUAAAAACUUCAGUUUGGAUCUCCACAACCCAGUGAAUAAGCCAGGCCCAGUGGUGUGCAAAUCUACAACCCCAGUCUGCCCCUAUGGAGAAGUGGGAAGUGAAGACAGGAGAGUUAAUAAAAGCUCCUGACCAACUAGCCCGGUAAAUACAGCUGUGGACAAAAAGAGAAGCCUGGUCUCAAAAAGCAAGGUGAGGGCUGGAGAGAUGGCUCAGCAGUUGAGAGCAGUGACUGCUCUUCUAGAGGACCUGAGUUCAAUUCCCAACAGCCACAGGUGGCUCACAACCAUCUGUAAUGAAGCUGGUGCCCUCUUCUGGCCUACAGGCAGAACACUUACACAUAUUAAAGAGAACACUCUGUACAUAUACAUUUAAAAUAAAUAAAUAAAUAAAUAAAUAAAUAAAUAAAUAAAUAAAUAAAUAAAUAAUAAAAACCAACAGUAACAAUAACAAAAAAGAAAAGUGAAAGGUAAGGAAUGACCCCUGAGGGUGUCCUCUGACUGUCACACAUGCACUGUGGCAUGUCUGUGCCCACAUUCAAACACUCAUGGCCACAUACUUCACAUAUGCUCACAUACAUACACAAAGACCUUGGGUUCUCAAGGGCUGAUUUAGUAACUGCCCCCCCCCACCGUGUGUGUCUGCAUGUCAGUAUGUCAGUGGGUACACAGGUUCCUAGGCAUGUACAGAAAGCAUAGGGUAACAUCAGAUACCCUGCUCUAUUACUCUUAGCCUUGAGACGGGGUUUUCCACAUAACCUAGAACUGUACUGGAAGUCAGCAGUCCCCAGAGAGCCUCGUGCUCCCACAUACACCCCAGGCAUAAGCCACACUUGGCUGUUUGCACUAACUUGGGCAGGGGAUUCAAACUCAAGUCACCUUGCUUGUGCAGCAAACCCUCUUACCCUCUGAGCCAUCCCUUCUAUACAAGAGUUGAUUUUGAGGAAUAACAAGACAGGUAACUGAGAUAUAAAAUGGCAUGACCCUGCCUCAUCUCCUGCCAUAGUAGGCAGGAGCUAUGGUUCAAAUGGAGAAAUGAAGUCAUCUGAAAGGAAUGUAGGGAAAUCCAACAGGCCCCAGCCCACGUGACCCAUAGGGAGACACUCACUGGUUGAAGCAAUGGGCAGCAGUCAACACCCAGUCCUCAGCAAUCAGAGAUCCCCCACACACGUGCGCCCCAUUCUCCCGCACGCUGACCUGCCAAGGCCACCGGCCCAGCUGGGCAUCUUGUCCUGACACGAUGCGGCCUGAUGUCCUGGGACGUCCACACACUGCAAGGAAUCAGUAGGAUUGGGUGAUACAUGGCUAUUCUGCCCUUCUCUAUACCCUCAAACCUGGCUCGUUUGUCACAGCCCCUGGGAGCUUGACCAGUGUGGGCCAGAGGAUGUCUCAGGUACCUGGUGCCUAAUAGCACCUGCCUAGUAUAAGGCCAGAAGGAGCCAGGAUCAAACAGCUCUCUGGGUCUGCCUCCAAACCUAUAAUUCUGCUGCCUCCUUCCUGUAAUCCCAGCACCUGAAGACUGAAUCAGGAGGAUCAGGAGUUCAAGGUCAGCUUCAACUAUGCAAUAAAAUGGAGGCCAGCCUGAGCUACAAUGAGACCAGGAAUCAAAACUAAAAGAAACAGAAUAAAACUAAAAACAAAACAAACAAAAAAGCCACCCAAACAACAAAACCUGCAUUCUACGUAUCUUCCCGAAGCUCCUGUUCCCCAUACACCACCUCACCUGAGUCCAAGUCAAUGCUCCUCCUGCCUGUCGUGGUAGACGGGCUGUCAGAGUCGGUUGGGAGGACCUCACUCCCCAGAAGAACUCCAGGAAAGAAGGUAAAUAGGAUGGCAGGCAGAGCCAGCUCCAUAGUACACCUGCUGGGGCCAAAUACUCCAGGAAGAGGAAGAGGGACUGCAGCUCUGGUGUGGUUUCAGGACUUGCCCUGGGGUGGGGCUCAGCCUCCACACCUGCCCUGCAGCCUUGGGAGAGGCCUCACAUGUCCACUGUCCCUGGGCACAGAGACCCUGACUUCCCUACAUGCUUCAUGCUCUGGGGUCCUCUGGUCCUCCCCUUCCUGAUCCAGGAACCGCAGCAUCCACGGCCCUCAACUUUCAUUGAUGCAGAAUCAUUGUAUAGUAUGCCUGGCACGUUCAUGGACCACAAUGGCACCCUCGGGAGCCUUCGUGUCCAUCGCUGUCCACCAGAGGGCAGCCAUGGGCCUAGCUCUAGGCAGAAGGGCAUGCCAGCAUUGGGCUGGAGGAUGAGGCAUGUGGACAUCCUUUCAGACUCCUGUGGUAUUUGUCUUCUCUAGAAACUUCUCUUCUGUUGGCUGCCCUUCACUCAGUCUCUAGGCAACUCCUUUCAAAAAGGAUUGUUCCCAGAAAGGCUCACUGGCCUUCAAACACCCAGAUGCCCCCACUGAAAUGGAAACUGUACACAGUAAUUACUUCGUCAGCUGCAGUGUCACUUUAUGCUUCAGUCCCAGACUCCAUCUUAUCCAAUAUUAAAGUCUCCACAUCCAUCUCC
ensembl:antisense Gm15947 predicted gene 15947